rnacentral:rRNA from 1 species
GACGAACGCUGGCGGCGUGCUUAACACAUGCAAGUCGAACGGAAAGGCCCUGCUUUUGUGGGGUGCUCGAGUGGCGAACGGGUGAGUGACACGUGAGUAACCUGCCCUUGACUUUGGGAUAACUUCAGGAAACUGGGGCUAAUACCGGAUAGGAGCUCCUGCUGCAUGGUGGGGGUUGGAAAGUUUCGGCGGUUGGGGAUGGACUCGCGGCUUAUCAGCUUGUUGGUGGGGUAGUGGCUUACCAAGGCUUUGACGGGUAGCCGGCCUGAGAGGGUGACCGGCCACAUUGGGACUGAGAUACGGCCCAGACUCCUACGGGAGGCAGCAGGGGGGAAUAUUGCACAAUGGGCGGAAGCCUGAUGCAGCAACGCCGCGUGCGGGAUGACGGCCUUCGGGUUGUAAACCGCUUUCGCCUGUGACGAAGCGUGAGUGACGGUAAUGGGUAAAGAAGCACCGGCUAACUACGUG